ACUCAAAGGAAUAGACGGGGGCCCGCACAAGCGGAGGAACAUGUGGUUUAAUUCGAUGAUACGCGAGGAACCUUACCCGGGCUUGAAAUGCAGAGGAAUAAUUUGGAAACAGAUUAGCCGGCAACGGUCUCUGUGUAGGUGCUGCAUGGUUGUCGUCAGCUCGUGCCGUGAGGUGUCGGCUUAAGUGCCAUAACGAGCGCAACCCCUAUUGUUAGUUACUAGCAGGUUAAGCUGAGGACUCUAACGAGACUGCCACCGUAAGGUGUGAGGAAGGUGGGGAUGACGUCAAAUCAGCACGGCCCUUACGUCCGGGGCGACACACGUGUUACAAUGGGAGGUACAGAGGGUAGCUACUCGGCGACGAGAUGCCAAUCUUAUAAAACCUCUCCCAGUUCGGAUCGGAGUCUGCAACCCGACUCCGUGAAGCUGGAUUCGCUAGUAAUCGCGCAUCAGCCAUGGCGCGGUGAAUACGUUCCCGGGCCUUGUACACACCGCCCGU
rnacentral:rRNA from 1 species